UUCUAGAACUUCUUCAAUGAAAAAUGUGUUUUCCUAGUGCCGCUAUCAACCAGGCCUAUUAUUUGUUUUCAGGUUUAAUCAAAUUGUUAUUUCUCCGUACUGAGCGCGUGACAAAACAAACGAGCGACGCAAACAGAAAGGAAAUUAUGAAUUGUCCCAGUGUGAGUCAUCGUUCCGAAAGCCGAUACUGUCGCCCAUAGUUUCCGGCUAGUAUUUCAACUGACCGACGAGUGAAUAUCACAUCUAUCAUUCCAUAUUUGUACUUUAACUCUUGCGCCAGACAUCGAGCAUUAUCGCAUCUUGCCCCUAUCACCUUCGGUAGCACUUCAAACGUAAGUAUGCAUUUGUGUGGGGAACGUUACAUAAAAAUGGAUUCUCCAAGCAACUCAAAUGUAUAUAAGUGUCGGGGCAAAGCAAUAAGUCGCGAUAACGUUAAAAAGACACUUAAAGCGAAUUGUAACUGCUAUUUUGACAUCAUAUUGAUGUCAUAAUAAUUUGUGUUCUGCUUGGGUACGUUUAAAAUACAGAGUUUUCACGCUGAUAUUGUGUUAUAUAUAUUAUUUAUCUUCUUUUUGUUUUUCUCUCGUUUAAAUAUUACGAAAACUGAGAAAAGAGGAGAGACUGAGAAUGCAGAGGAAGAUGCGGAAAUACGUGCAGUCAUGAAAAACAUCUAUCAUGGAAUAAAGAAGUGACGUUAUCCGGAUGCGCUGUUCCAAUAAAAAUUAUGAUUCACGGUCACAUGAUCAUCAAAUCUACCAGUUUCUCGAAUUCUUCGUGAAAUUUAUAGUACUAACUUAUCUUUUAACCUUAUCUUUAAAAGGUCUACAUUUCUUCGAGAUAAGAAAGCACGAAUUUCAAGUAGAAAGAAAAAAGUGUUAAAGCAACGAACAACCGAUUAAGCCAUUUUAGAUACGUAGUUCAUUAUGAAACAUCUAGAAAGCAUUGCAUUGAUGUGUAAAUAACAACGCAUCAUGUGAGCUCCGCAAUGAAACUCUAGCGAACGCGACAGUUUGCGCACACGCUAUCAGUAAUUAUUAUUCUCACACCAGAAACACCUGUUUUCAUGCUUUGCCGACGAGAAAUUUAUGUUGAUGUUUUUCUAUGCGAAUUGAAGCUAAUUCAAUGAAAUAAAAAUAAGAUUCUUUAGGUCGAAAAACGAAUUUCUAUGAGAAAUGCGAGCCUAGUACGCGCCGACCGAGAGGAUUAAUGAGUUAAAGAGACACUUUGCGCGCGCGGCAACGAGCGGAGAAAGACGCGCGCGGGUGCUUCAACGUACAUAUACGUUGAUGGGCACAGAUAUACACAAACACAAUGAGCGAACUGUAGAUUUCACAGUUUGCGAGCGCAGGCCUUCGCCUUUCUCCUCGUGGCAGCCCGACGGUUUUGGAGUAUAUUUUUAUAAAGUGCUUUUCGAACUCCGAUACUCGAUUGCGUUUUACCAAGUCC